rnacentral:rRNA from 1 species
GAUGAACGCUGGCGGCGUGCCUAAUACAUGCAAGUCGAGCGAACAGACGAGGAGCUUGCUCCUCUGACGUUAACGGCGGACGGGUGAGUAACACGUGGAUAACCUACCUAUAAGACUGGGAUAACUUCGGGAAACCGGAGCUAAUACCGGAUAAUAUAUUGAACCGCAUGGUUCAAUAGUGAAAGACGGUUUUGCUGUCACUUAUAGAUGGAUCCGCGCCGCAUUGGCUAGUUGGUAAGGUAACGGCUUACUAAGGCAACGAUGCGUAGCCGACCUGAGAGGGUGAUCGGCCACACUGGAAGUGAGCCACGGUCCAGACUCCUACGGGAGGCAGCAGUAGGGAAUCGUCCGCAAUGGGCGAAAGCUUGACGGAGCAGCGCCGCGUGAGUGAUGAAGGGCUUCGGAUCGUAAAACUCUGUUAUUAGUGAAGAACAAAUGUGUAAGUAACUAUGCACGUCUUGACGGUACCUAAUCAGAAAGCCCCGGCUAACUACGUG